CCUUACAACCCGUUCAGCUAUUCUAAUAUUUAACGCUUCUUUUACCCACUGCCUGGAAGUUGAACUGCAAUGCAAGCAAGGCACCAGCGCUGCCCUAAGUCAGGGGGAAGCCCACAGAGGGCUACUACUCAUUGCAAAGUGCCCCAGAACUCAACCCUGCCUUAGGAACAGGGCUGCAGCACUUCAUCUUUUGCCUCGAGGCCAGUCCCCGUGCUGGCUGACACUUCUGCUUCCCAGCAGGGCGAUCACACACCCGCCACCAACAGCAGGAGGACAGAAGGACACCAGGCCGGCAUCCUCUGCUUCUCAGCCCGGUGAGGAGCCCAAGGGCAAACUGCUGAUCUCAAGGGUGCCCAGAGCAGACAAAGCUGUGCGUCUGAGACAAACGGAGCAGCCCAGCAGCUGGCUGCUCCAGAGGAAAUUCCAGUCCCUGCUCAAAGGCUGAAAAUACAUAUGCUUUUCUGUACGCUUUUACUUUGCUUGCUGGAUCUAUAUAACAUUUUACACAUGUUUUUCCUGACAUUAUUUUCCAUAUUCCACCAGAAACUUGAGCAACUGUGCCACUUCUGGAAAAACAACCUCGCGUCCAACUUUUGUCCCAGCAGCUUCUCCCUCCGCCCCCAGGCCCCCAGCUCACGCUGUUUCCCCACAACCACAGAUCCUCUUCAGUAGGGCUCCUCCGCUACCUGGGCUGUCUGUCAGCAGCACCAAAAGCCCAUAAAGCAGAGGCGUAUGGGUGCGCAGGGAAGAAGGACACACAGAUUUCAGAUGGGAGACAGCGAGCAGCAUUAUACGGAUAAUUCUGUAGGGGAAACUAAAGCCCACUGUGUGUAGAGGCUGCAGAGCAAAGCUCAACGGAGAGGGCCGCUCAUGUUAGUGAGGAGCCCUUCAGCUUUCCAUUCCUUAUAUGUGCAAAGUGUGCAAGCCCGCACACACAGCUCUCUACUCACCCAGAGGUACAUCAUGUUAGCCUGGGUCGCUCGAACCCAGCAGUGAGAUGAUCCGGGAACGCAGGAGGCACUUCAGGAAAAAGCUGACGAGA